rnacentral:lncRNA from 1 species
GGAGAGGUAAAGACAAAGUGUGACUGUGCUUUCUCUAAUGGAGUCUCUGGAGUCGGGAAGAGUCUUCUCUCAAAUAUCAGAGUGGUCAUGCCCUUCUUCAUCCACCCAGGGGCCUGCUCCUAACUUGUGGAUCUUGAGGCUGUGGUCGGCUGCUAUAAUGAAAGAUUUUCCAGGAGUGACACUAUAGUUGAGCACCACGAUUUCCAGGC